AGUGAACGCUGGCGGUAGGCCUAACACAUGCAAGUCGAACGGCAGCACAGUAAGAGCUUGCUCUUACGGGUGGCGAGUGGCGGACGGGUGAGGAAUACAUCGGAAUCUACUUUUUCGUGGGGGAUAACGUAGGGAAACUUACGCUAAUACCUCAUACUACCUACGGGUGAAAUCAGGGGAUCUUCGGACCUUGCGCGAUUGAAUGAGCCGAUGUCGUAUUAGCUAGUUGGCGGGGUAAAGGCCCACCAAGGCGACGAUCCGUAGCUGGUCUGAGAGGAUGAUCAGCCACACUGGAACUGAGACACGGUCCAGACUCCUACGGGAGGCAGCAGUGGGGAAUAUUGGACAAUGGGCGCAAGCCUGAUCCAGCCAUACCGCGUGGGUGAAGAAGGCCUUCGGGUUGUAAAGCCCUUUUGUUGGGAAAGAAAAGCAGCAGGUUAAUACCCCGCUGUUCUGACGGUACCAAAAGAAUAGGCACCGGCUAACUUCGUG
rnacentral:rRNA from 1 species